GUGGCAUCUUACAAAGAAAAGGUAGUUCGAGAUGGGAACACUUGUUUCAAAUGCUCUCCUCCCAUUCGCGAUGCUUCCAACAAGGAAAACCUCUGGGAAGCUCUGCCGUACAAACACAUCAGCACAGUGAGUAAGGAUGUGGCACCUUGGGGAAUAAUGCCUACAAAGCAAGCCCAGGAUGACGAUGCUGAUCACUAGCAUGAAGGAUACCAAGCAGGCUAAGGAUGAAGUACACGAUGAAGGCAAUGAGGACAAUGAAAACAUGCAAUCCAUAAACAUAGCAGCAGCUGCAAGUUCUUCUAUGUAUGAUAAUAUGAUUG